rnacentral:rRNA from 1 species
GAGGCCGAAAGGCGUAGUCGAUGGGAAACGGGUUAAUAUUCCCGUACUUGGUGUUACUGCGAAGGGGGGACGGAGAAGGCUAUGUUGGCCGGGCGACGGUUGUCCCGGUUUAAGCGUGUAGGCUGGUUUUCCAGGCAAAUCCGGAAAAUCAAGGCUGAGGCGUGACGACGAGGCACUACGGUGCUGAAGCAACAAAUGCCCUGCUUCCAGGAAAAGCCUCUAAGCAUCAGGUAACACGAAAUCGUACCCCAAACCGACACAGGUGGUCAGGUAGAGAAUACCAAGGCGCUUGAGAGAACUCGGGUGAAGGAACUAGGCAAAAUGGUGCCGUAACUUCGGGAGAAGGCACGCUGACAUGUAGGUGAAGUGAUUUACUCAUGGAGCUGAAGUCAGUCGAAGAUACCAGCUGGCUGCAACUGUUUAUUAAAAACACAGCACUGUGCAAACACGAAAGUGGACGUAUACGGUGUGACGCCUGCCCGGUGCCGGAAGGUUAAUUGAUGGGGUCAGCGCAAGCGAAGCUCCUGAUCGAAGCCCCGGUAAACGGCGGCCGUAACUAUAACGGUCCUAAGGUAGCGAAAUUCCUUGUCGGGUAAGUUCCGACCUGCACGAAUGGCGUAAUGAUGGCCAGGCUGUCUCCACCCGAGACUCAGUGAAAUUGAACUCGCUGUGAAGAUGCAGUGUACCCGCGGCAAGACGGAAAGACCCCGUGAACCUUUACUAUAGCUUGACACUGAACAUUGAGCCUUGAUGUGUAGGAUAGGUGGGAGGCUUUGAAGUGUGGACGCCAGUCUGCAUGGAGCCGACCUUGAAAUACCACCCUUUAAUGUUUGAUGUUCUAACGUGGACCCGUGAUCCGGGUUGCGGACAGUGUCUGGUGGGUAGUUUGACUGGGGCGGUCUCCUCCUAAAGAGUAACGGAGGAGCACGAAGGUUGGCUAAUCCUGGUCGGACAUCAGGAGGUUAGUGCAAUGGCAUAAGCCAGCUUGACUGCGAGCGUGACGGCGCGAGCAGGUGCGAAAGCAGGUCAUAGUGAUCCGGUGGUUCUGAAUGGAAGGGCCAUCGCUCAACGGAUAAAAGGUACUCCGGGGAUAACAGGCUGAUACCGCCCAAGAGUUCAUAUCGACGGCGGUGUUUGGCACCUCGAUGUCGGCUCAUCACAUCCUGGGGCUGAAGUAGGUCCCAAGGGUAUGGCUGUUCGCCAUUUAAAGUGGUACGCGAGCUGGGUUUAGAACGUCGUGAGACAGUUCGGUCCCUAUCUGCCGUGGGCGCUGGAGAACUGAGGGGGGCUGCUCCUAGUACGAGAGGACCGGAGUGGACGCAUCACUGGUGUUCGGGUUGUCAUGCCAAUGGCACUGCCCGGUAGCUAAAUGCGGAAGAGAUAAGUGCUGAAAGCAUCUAAGCACGAAACUUGCCCCGAGAUGAGUUCUCCCUGAGACUUUAGGUCUCCUGAAGGAACGUUGAAGACGACGACGUUGAUAGGCCGGGUGUGUAAGCGCAGCGAUGCGUUGAGCUAACCGGUACUAAUGAACCGUGAGGCUUAACCUUACAACGCCGAAG